UUGCUCGCUUCGGCAGCACAUAUACUAAAAUUGGAAUGAUACAGAGAAGAUCAGCAUGGCCCCUGCACAAGGAUGACAUGCAAAUUCGUGAAGCAUUCCAUAUUUAA